GGGAAUGUAGUUAAAAAUAACAUUUAAUUUGCAAUUAAAAAGUACUAUUUAAGUCUUUCUCA
rnacentral:tRNA from 1 species